rnacentral:rRNA from 1 species
CACACAGUAAACGAUGAAUACUCGCUGUUUGCGAUAUACGGCAAGCGGCCAAGCGAAAGCAUUAAGUAUUCCACCUGGGGAGUACGCCGGCAACGGUGAAACUCAAAGGAAUUGACGGGG